rnacentral:tRNA from 1 species
AGAGGUGUAGCUCAGUGGUAGAGCAUCUGACUACAAAGAACAAGGCUCUGAGUUCAACCCUCAGUACUGCUA